UAUUAUUUAAAAUUUAAAUUAGAAUUAUUAAAGUAGUAAUAGUUAUGUUCUUGAAACUUAAAAAAUUUGGCGGUAUUUUAGUCUAUUCAGAGGAACCUGUUUUAUAAUCGAUAAUCCACGAUGGACCUUACUUAAAUUAGUUUACAGUUUAUAUACCGUCGUUAUUUGAAUAUUUUAUAAGAAUAAUAAUAUUCAAUAAUUUUUAUAAAAAAUUAUAUCAGAUCAAGGUGUAGCUUAUAUUUAAGAAUAAAUGGGUUACAAUAAAAUUAUUUAUAUGAAUAUAAAUAUGAAAAAUUUAUUGAAAUUGGAUUUGAUAGUAAAAUUAUAAAGAUUAAUAAUUUGAUUUUAGCUCUAAAAUAUGUACAUAUCGCCCGUCGCUCUUAUUAUAAAAUAAGAUAAGUCGUAACAUAGUAGAUGUACUGGAAAGUGUAUCUAGAAUG
rnacentral:rRNA from 1 species